rnacentral:rRNA from 1 species
UACGUAGGCAGCGAGCGUUGUUCGGAGUUACUGGGCGUAAGGGUGUGUAGGCGGCCUAUUAAGUUUGGUGUGAAAUCUCCCGGCCCAACCGGGAGGGUGCGCCGAAAACUGGGAGGCUAGAGUGCGGGAUGGGAGAGUGGAAUUCCUGGUGUAGCGGUGAAAUGCGUAGAUAUCAGGAGGAACACCGGUGGUGCAGACGGCUCUCUGGACCGUAACUGACGCUGAGACACGAAAAGCGUGGGUAGCAAACAGG